rnacentral:rRNA from 1 species
AUUGAACGCUGGCGGCAGGCCUAACACAUGCAAGUCGAGCGGAGCGGCGGACGGGUGGGUAAUGCCUAGGGAUUUGCCUGGUUGUGGGGGCUCAAGUCCGGAAACGGGCGCUAACACAGCAGACGUUCAGAUGAGCGUAGGUGGGCUUAGCUAGCUGGUGGGGUAAUGGCCUACCAAGGCGACGAGCCUUAGCUGGACUGAGAGGAUGAUCAGUCACACUGGAACUGAGACACGGUCCAGACUCCUACGGGAGGCAGCAGUGGGGAAUAUUGGACAAUGGACGAAAGCCUGAUCCAGCCAUGCCGCGUGUGUGAAGAAGGUCUUCGGAUUGUAAAGCACUUUUAGUUGGGAGGCGUUACCUACAGAAUAAGCACCGGCUAACUUCGUGCCAGCAGCCGCGGUAAUUC